UUUGCUUCCUCCGGAUUUACUCGAUACGCGGGUCGGUUGGGAAGUUGUGCUCCCGGUACAAGAUCGAUCUGAUGCUCGAUGCCUCGAAUCGGGGGCAGCCCUUUUGGAAGCUCUUCGGGGAAUACAUCCUCGUACUUUUCCAAAAUGGACUUGAUCUCAUCCGGUACAUACGCCUCCUUGGUGCCUACAAUUGCAUCAUCUUUAAAAACCAUUAGUAGCAUUUGGCAAGUAGGAUCACUCAAAGACUUUCUAACCACACUAUGAUUAAUCAAGAAAUUCAUUUUAGUGCUUG
rnacentral:lncRNA from 1 species